GAUGAACGCUCGCUACAGGCUUAACACAUGCAAGUCGAGGGGAAACGGCAUUACGUGCUUGCACUUUUUGGACGUCGACCGGCGCACGGGUGAGUAACGCGUAUCCAACCUUCCCAUGACUAAGGGAUAACCUGCCGAAAGGCAGACUAAUACCUUAUGGUCUUCACUGACGGCAUCAGAUGUGAAGUAAAGAUUUAUCGGUUAUGGAUGGGGAUGCGUCUGAUUAGCUUGUUGGCGGGGUAACGGCCCACCAAGGCAACGAUCAGUAGGGGUUCUGAGAGGAAGGUCCCCCACAUUGGAACUGAGACACGGUCCAAACUCCUACGGGAGGCAGCAGUGAGGAAUAUUGGUCAAUGGGCGAGAGCCUGAACCAGCCAAGUAGCGUGCAGGAUGACGGCCCUAUGGGUUGUAAACUGCUUUUGUAUGGGGAUAAAGUCAAUCACGUGUGAUUGUUUGCAGGUACCAUACGAAUAAGAACCGGCUAAUUCCGUG
rnacentral:rRNA from 1 species